CCUACGGAGGCAGCAGUGAGGAAUAUUGGUCCAUGGGCGCGAGCCUGAACCAGCCAAGUAGCGUGAAGGAUGACUGCCCUACGGGUUGUAAACUUUUUUUAUAAAGGAAUAAAGUGAGGCACGUGUGCCUUUUUGUAUGUACUUUAUGAAAAAGGAUCGGCUAACUCCGUUCCAGCCGCCGCGGUAAUACGGGGGAUCCGAGCGUUAUCCGGAUUUAUUGGGGUUAAAGGGGGCGUAGAUGGGUUGUUAAGUCAGUUGUGAAAGUUUGCGGCUCAACCGUAAAAUUGCAAUUGAUACUGGCAGUCUUGAGUACAGUUGAGGUAGGCGGAAUUCGUGGUGUAGCGGUGAAAUGCUUAGAUAGCACGAAGAACUCCGAUUGCGAAGGCAGCUUACUAAACUGCCACUGACAUUGAUGCUCGAAAGUGUGGGUAUCAAACAGGAUUAGAUACCCUGGUAGUC
rnacentral:rRNA from 1 species